rnacentral:rRNA from 1 species
CACGUAGGGGACGAGCGUUGUCCGGAAUUACUGGGCGUAAAGGGCGCGUAGGCGGUGCUUCAAGUCAGCUGUGAAAUAUCUGGGCUCAACCCGGGUAUGCGGUUGAAACUGGGGUGCUGGAGUACUGUAGAGGCAAGUGGAAUUCCCAGUGUAGCGGUGAAAUGCGUAGAUAUUGGGAGGAACACCGGUGGCGAAGGCGACUUGCUGGGCAGUAACUGACGCUGAGGCGCGAAGGCCAGGGGAGCAAACGGGAUUAGAUACCC